UGGGGGAUAUUGCGCAAUGGGGGCAACCCUGACGCAGCAACGCCGCGUGAAGGAUGAAGGUUUUCGGAUUGUAAACUUCUUUUAUUAAGGACGAAAAAUGACGGUACUUAAUGAAUAAGCUCCGGCUAACUACGUGCCAGCAGCCGCGGUAAUACGUAGGGAGCAAGCGUUGUCCGGAUUUACUGGGUGUAAAGGGUGCGUAGGCGGCUUUGCAAGUCAGAUGUGAAAUCUAUGGGCUCAACCCAUAAACUGCAUUUGAAACUGUAGAGCUUGAGUGAAGUAGAGGCAGGCGGAAUUCCCCGUGUAGCGGUGAAAUGCGUAGAGAUGGGGAGGAACACCAGUGGCGAAGGCGGCCUGCUGGGCUUUAACUGACGCUGAGGCACGAAAGCGUGGGUAGCAAACAGGAUUAGAUACCCUGGUAGUCCACGCUGUAAACGAUGAUUACUAGGUGUGGGGGGUCUGACCCCUUCCGUGCCGGAGUUAACACAAUAAGUAAUCCACCUGGGGAGUACGGCCGCAAGGUUGAAACUCAAAGGAAUUGACGGGGGCCCGCGCAAGCAGUGGAGUAUGUGGUUUAAUUCGAAGCAACGCGAAGAACCUUACCAGGUCUUGACAUCCAACUAACGAAGUAGAGAUACAUUAGGUGCCCUUCGGGGAAAGUUGAGACAGGUGGUGCAUGGUUGUCGUCAGCUCGUGUCGUGAGAUGUUGGGUUAAGUCCCGCAACGAGCGCAACCCUUGCUAUUAGUUGCUACGCAAGAGCACUCUAAUAGGACUGCCGUUGACAAAACGGAGGAAGGUGGGGACGACGUCAAAUCAUCAUGCCCCUUAUGACCUGGGCUACACACGUACUACAAUGGAUGUUAACAGAGGGAAGCAAGACAGCGAUGUGGAGCAAACCCCUAAAAACAUUCUCAGUUCAGAUUGCAGGCUGCAACCCGCCUGCAUGAAGAUGGAAUUGCUAGUAAUCGCGGAUCAGCAUGCCGCGGUGAAUACGUUCCC
rnacentral:rRNA from 1 species